GGGACAUGGCUCAGUUGGUAGAGUGCUUGCCUUCACACACAAGGCCCUGGGUUCCAUCCCCAGCACCCA
rnacentral:tRNA from 1 species